UGGGGCGAUGAUGACUCAAUGAAAUUCAAGCUCAACAGACCGGAAUGCAGGGCCAAGGCUCUGAGGAGCUUUGCUUGCUUUGCGUGUCGACAACCCCGCUGAACUGAGUCCCA
rfam:Punica granatum cultivar Dabenzi scaffold59, whole genome shotgun sequence.